rnacentral:rRNA from 1 species
GGUUGACCUCGGAUCAGGUAGGGAUACCCGCUGAACUUAAGCAUAUCAAUAAGCGGAGGAAAAGAAACCAACAGGGAUUGCCUCAGUAACGGCGAGUGAAGCGGCAAGAGCUCAAAUUUGAAAGCUGGCCCCCUUGGGGUCCGCAUUGUAAUUUGCAGAGGAUGCUUCGGGAGUGGCCCCCAUCUAAGUGCUCUGGAACGGGCCGUCAUAGAGGGUGAGAAUCCCGUAU